GACGAGCGCUGGCGGCGUGCUUAACACAUGCAAGUCGAACGGUGAAGCGCCUUCCUUUUUGGUGGGUGUGGAUGAGUGGCGAACGGGUGAGUAACACGUGAGUAACCUGCCCCCUUCUUCUGGAUAACCGCAUGAAAGUGUGGCUAAUACGGGAUAUUCUGGGUCUGUCGCAUGAUGGGUCUGGGAAAGAUAUUGUUUCGGUGGGGGAUGGGCUCGCGGCCUAUCAGCUUGUUGGUGGGGUGAUGGCCUACCAAGGCGGUGACGGGUAGCCGGCCUGAGAGGGUGGACGGUCACACGGGGACUGAGACACGGCCCAGACUCCUACGGGAGGCAGCAGGGGGGAAUAUUGCACAAUGGGCGCAAGCCUGAUGCAGCGACGCCGCGUGAGGGAUGGAGGCCUUCGGGUUGUGAACCUCUUUCGCCAGUGAAGCAGGCCUGCCUCGUUUGUGGGUGGGUUGACGGUAGCUGGAUAAGAAGCGCCGGCUAACUACGUG
rnacentral:rRNA from 1 species